rnacentral:rRNA from 1 species
GAGACCGGCGCACGGGUGCGUAACGCGUAUGCAAUCUACCUUUUACAGAGGGAUAGCCCAGAGAAAUUUGGAUUAAUACCUCAUAGUAUGUGAGAAUCGCAUGGUUUUCACAUUAAAGUCACAACGGUAAAAGAUGAGCAUGCGUCCCAUUAGCUUGUUGGUAAGGUAACGGCUUACCAAGGCAACGAUGGGUAGGGGUCCUGAGAGGGAGAUCCCCCACACUGGUACUGAGACACGGACCAGACUCCUACGGGAGGCAGCAGUGAGGAAUAUUGGUCAAUGGGCGCAAGCCUGAACCAGCCAUGCCGCGUGCAGGAAGACGGUCCUAUGGAUUGUAAACUGCUUUUAUACAGGAAGAAACAACUCUACGUGUAGAGUCUUGACGGUACUGUAGGAAUAAGGAUCGGCUAACUCCGUGCCAGCAGCCGCGGUAAUACGGAGGAUCCAAGCGUUAUCCGGAAUCAUUGGGUUUAAAGGGUCCGUAGGCGGUCUUAUAAGUCAGUGGUGAAAUCUCCUAGCUCAACUAGGAAACUGCCAUUGAUACUGUAAGACUUGAAUUUUUGUGAAGUAACUAGAAUAUGUAGUGUAGCGGUGAAAUGCUUAGAUAUUACAUGGAAUACCAAUUGCGAAGGCAGGUUACUAACAAACGAUUGACGCUGAUGGACGAAAGCGUGGGGAGCGAACAGGAUUAGAUACCCUGGUAGUCCACGCCGUAAACGAUGGAUACUAGCUGUUCGGAGCAAUCUGAGUGGCUAAGCGAAAGUGAUAAGUAUCCCACCUGGGGAGUACGCAC